GACGAACGCUGGCGGCGUGCUUAACACAUGCAAGUCGAACGGAAAGGCCCUGCUUUUGUGGGGUGCUCGAGUGGCGAACGGGUGAGUAACACGUGAGUAACCUGCCCUUGACUUUGGGAUAACUUCAGGAAACUGGGGCUAAUACCGGAUAGGAGCUCCUGCUGCAUGGUGGGGGUUGGAAAGUUUCGGCGGUUGGGGAUGGACUCGCGGCUUAUCAGCUUGUUGGUGGGGUAGUGGCUUACCAAAGCUUUGACGGGUAGCCGGCCUGAGAGGGUGACCGGCCACAUUGGGACUGAGAUACGGCCCAGACUCCUACGGGAGGCAGCAGUGGGGAAUAUUGCACAAUGGGCGGAAGCCUGAUGCAGCAACGCCGCGUGCGGGAUGACGGCCUUCGGGUUGUAAACCGCUUUCGCCUGUGACGAAGCGUGAGUGACGGUAAUGGGUAAAGAAGCACCGGCUAACUACGUGCCAGCAGCCGCGGUGAUACGUAGGGUGCGAGCGUUGUCCGGAUUUAUUGGGCGUAAAGGGCUCGUAGGUGGUUGAUCGCGUCGGAAGUGUAAUCUUGGGGCUUAACCCUGAGCGUGCUUUCGAUACGGGUUGACUUGAGGAAGGUAGGGGAGAAUGGAAUUCCUGGUGGAGCGGUGGAAUGCGCAGAUAUCAGGAGGAACACCAGUGGCGAAGGCGGUUCUCUGGGCCUUUCCUGACGCUGAGGAGCGAAAGCGUGGGGAGCGAACAGGCUUAGAUACCCUGGUAGUCCACGCUGUAAACGGUGGGUACUAGGUGUGGGGUCCAUUCCACGGGUUCCGUGCCGUAGCUAACGCUUUAAGUACCCCGCCUGGGGAGUACGGCCGCAAGGCUAAAACUCAAAGGAAUUGACGGGGCCCCGCACAAGCGGCGGAGCAUGCGGAUUAAUUCGAUGCAACGCGUAGAACCUUACCUGGGUUCGACAUGGAUCGGGAGUGCUCAGAGAUGGGUGUGCCUCUUUUGGGGUCGGUUCACAGGUGGUGCAUGGCUGUCGUCAGCUCGUGUCGUGAGAUGCUGGGUUAAGUCCCGCAACGAGCGCAACCCUUGUUCACUGUUGCCAGCACGUUAUGGUGGGGACUCAGUGGAGACCGCCGGGGUCAACUCGGAGGAAGGUGGGGAUGACGUCAAGUCAUCAUGCCCCUUAUGUCCAGGGCUUCACGCAUGCUACAAUGGCUGGUACAGAGAGUGGCGAGCCUGUGAGGGUGAGCGAAUCUCGGAAAGCCGGUCUCAGUUCGGAUUGGGGUCUGCAACUCGACCUCAUGAAGUCGGAGUCGCUAGUAAUCGCAGAUCAGCAACGCUGCGGUGAAUACGUUCCCGGGGCU
rnacentral:rRNA from 1 species